rnacentral:rRNA from 1 species
GGCGGACGGGUGAGUAACGCGUGGGUAACCUGCCUUAUACAGGGGGAUAACAGUUGGAAACGACUGCUAAUACCGCAUAAGCGCACAGUACCGCAUGGUACAGUGUGAAAAACUCCGGUGGUAUGAGAUGGACCCGCGUCUGAUUAGCUAGUUGGUGGGGUAACGGCCCACCAAGGCGACGAUCAGUAGCCGACCUGAGAGGGUGAUCGGCCACAUUGGGACUGAGACACGGCCCAGACUCC